GACGAACGCUGGCGGCGUGCUUAACACAUGCAAGUCGAACGGAAAGGCCACCUUGUGGGGUACUCGAGUGGCGAACGGGAGAGUAAAACGAGAGUAACCUACCCUAGACUUUGGGAUAACAUCAGGAAUCUGAGGCUAAUACCGGACAGGAGAUCAUGCUGCAUGGUGGGGGUCGGAAAGUUUCGGCGGUUGGGGAUGGACUCGCGGAUUAUCAGCUUGUUGGUGGGGUAGUGGCUCACCAAGGCGUUGACGGGUAGCCGGCCUGAGAGGGUGACCAGCCACAUUGGGACUGCGAUACGGCCCAGACUCCUACGGGAGGCAGCAGUGGGGAAUAUUGCACAAUGGGCGGAAGCCUGAUGCAGCAACGCCGCGUGCGUGAUGACGGCCUUCGGGUGGUAAACCGCUUUCUCCUGUGACGAAGCGUGAGUGACGGUAAUGGGUAAAGAAGCACCGGCUAACUACGUG
rnacentral:rRNA from 1 species